UCCACCCCUUAACUCUGAACCCUAAGGUUUGGAUUAAUUAACCCAAGGGGUAUAAGUGUAUAUUUACCUCUUUAAUAAAACCUAUUUUUGUGACUUUGAGCCUUGAGUGCUAUUUUGGGAACAAAAACUUGAUUUGGUGAUAUCUAGUCUUUUUCUCUUGUAGCAACUCUGUUUUUGAAUCAGUUUUUUUUUUUCCCCAACAACUAAUUCAGGUUCUGCAGAUGAUAAAGACGAGGCUCUUGAGUACAAGUGUAGGGAAAUGGGUUACGUUUCUUGCGAAAUGUGCGAAUUUUCUGGCUUUAGCCUUGAAGAUCUCACAACUCAUUUCAGUAGUGAUGAACAUUUAGAGGAAGUAAGCAUCUCUCUGCUUCUUAAUAUUUGUAUCGAUACAUUUCUCCUACUAUCCUCCCACGUCCUUUAAGUUUUGCUUGUCUUAUCUCCUCUGAUUUGCACUGGAUGUGCUUCUUUUUUGUUGUUGUCACGCAGGUGUCCUACCAUAAUCCUCUAGACAAACAUAGCUCUUCUACUUCUGCCGUAGAACCAAACGCAAGUUUUACUUAAUAUAUCUCAAAACUUUUAUAAUUUUGCUGAAAUUUGAAGCUAGACUUCUUUUUUGGUCGAAUCUGCGUUUCUUAUUGACAUUUUUUUUUGGUGCUAAAACAUCGAAAAAUUAGGGCAAUGAGAGGGAGACUAAGACUGAACAUGUAGGUGAACAAGAGACCAGCUGUGCACCAAGAGGCACCAAGAGAGCAGUUGCGCACAUUGUUCCAUCGGAUCUCUAAAAGAUUGAAUGGUUUUUGUUCUACUCUAGCGGAAAAUGUUUUUGUGGUUUAAAAGUAAAGGCCCGCUCUGCAGCCCAUUAAGAUUAAAACCCUAGGGUUUCUUUGCCUUCUUCUAUAAAUACACAGCCUCCACCCCUUAGUUUCCCAUCAGAAACUUUGAAACGAAGCUUUGCAGAGAAAUCUCGGAGAUCGGAAGCCCUAGCCGUCGAUGAUCUUUCUCUCUCCCUGCGCUGCCUCUCUUUCUUUUCUCCCUCUUCGCCGCAUCUCUCUCCUCUCUCUCUCCUCACGAUCUCUCUCUCCCGGCUGACUCUCUCUCUCUCUUUGCUGUAAGCAGCCGCGAGUGGUGGUGGUGGCCGCGUGGUGUCGUAGAUUUCAGAUCCCGUUUCUCUUACCCCUAUUUUCAGAUCCAGAUCCGGAUCUAGGCUAACGUGAGGACUAUAAGUGGAAGAGUCGAUGGUAAGAAAGGAAACGCACUUGAAACUCAUGGGACCAGAAACGGAACACAACUCCGCGCCCAGAAACUCCGGUUGGAAAUGGGGAAGGAGCGGGCGUUUCAAUAAACUUCCAAUGUUUGAUUCUUAUGAGUUCUUUAUGCUUGUGUUUCUUUGUAAUUUUUUCACGAAUACCAUAUGGAUUUUGCUUCCCCCAUGCAACAUUGAGCAUCAGCGACAGAAAGAGAUAGUUGUGCAUAUAAAACGUAAUAUCUAAACAGUUUUUAAUCAAUUGGAAAGCAUCUUACAAAAUCUGGAUGGCUUUCAAAAAAACCAGUGUGUUUCUAACCUAUGAUCCAUUUCGAAAAAUAAAAAAAAAGUUUGCAUCAAACGAAUGUCGAACCAGCGAACUAGGUGUGCGGCCACUACGCCAAGUACAAUUAAACUGUUCAUUAAUAUAAAUAAAACUUAAUAGCCAAACAGUAUUUAUUCAAUUUAAAUUGGAAAGCAUCUUACAAAAUCUGCAUGGCUUUCCAAAAAAUAUAUUUAUGGAGACUCAAAACUAUGGACAUGACAAACUGUAUUUUUGUAAAGUUUCAUAUUGUGAUGAAUAAUUUUGUGAGCAAAUCAAUAUAACCAAAAGCUUUAAAAUUUUGGAAAAAUUUUACAUAUAAAUAGGCCCUUAAAUUUGUGGAAAAGAAAAAUUUGUUGGGAUUGUGAAAUACUAUGUCCAACUCUAUAUUCUCCGAUUAGUACAAUAUUGUCCACUUUGGGCCUAAGAAACAAGUCUGCAUAGAUUUACUUUUGGUUUCCUUCCCAAAAGGUCUCGUACUAUUUAGAGUUGGACAUCUCUUUAUAUAUUAGACUCUCCUUUUUCUAAUUCUCCAAUGUGAGACUUAUUUUGUUAUAUCACAUUCUCCCCUUCAAACUAAGGAUCACAUUCAUCUCGUCUCCAACAACUGACUUUCAGGAUCUUUUGACUUGAUCUCUGCCACACACACCUUCCAAUCCUAACUCGAUGGGUCCCGUUCCUAUUCGAAGGGUAUUUUGGUCUUCUUACAGAUUUUCGUCAAACCGCUCUGAUACCAAUUGUUGGAAUUGUGAAAUCCCAUGUCCAACUCUAUAUUGUCCGAUUAGUACGAUAUUGUCCACUUUGGAUCUAAUUGGCUAGCCCGCAUGGAUUUACUUUUGUUUUCCUUCCCAAAAGACAUUAGACAUUAGAGUUAGACAUCUCUUUAUAUAUUAGACUUUCUUUUGUCUAAUAUCCGCUGUGGGACUUAACUUGUUAUCUCACAGAGACGGCGCGUUUAGAGCAGACAGAUAGAGCAGACUCGAGUAAAAAACCUCCUGCUCUGCUUAAUAAUGAUUUUAAUUGGCUAAUAGAAAUCAAACACAUCUUCCAAAAGUGUUGAAUUUUAUUUACCAUUUUUUUUUGACAAAUCAACACAAUAAUUAGGCUUGUUUCUCUCCAAAGCAUGACACCUCAGCUUUCAAAAUAGCUGUAGGAUUAACAUGUCAUCAAAUGAAAAAAGUUGAGGAACCAAUCUAUUUAUUUUGUAAGUCCACGUCAGUUUCACUCAACCGUAAUGAGAAAAAAAAUUACGAAGGUUACAGAUCUCUUCUCCUCCUCCUCUGUCUCCUCCUCUCCUUAUUCAAUUUUGCUCAGACAUGGGCUGGUCGAACCCCAACCCUUGCGAAUGAGACACCCUCCAAUGCGACAGGAGCAGCUGCGUCACGAGGAUCCAGCUCAGACAGAAAGGGAUCCGCAACACUCUCCCUCAGGAUCUCCAUAAACUCUCCGAGCUUGUCAUCCUCGAGACUCACGUCAGACGGUCGGAGAAGACAGAGCAGCAGGAGAAGACAGAGCAGCGGGGUCGGAGCCGAGCUCGUCGUUCUCGAGACUCACGUCAGACGUUAGAGAAGACAGAGCAGCGGCAUCGGAGAAGACAGAGCAGCGCGGUCGGAGCCGAGCUCGUCGUCCUCGAGACUUAUCAGACGUCGGAGUAGACAGAGCAGCGGCGUCGGCGAAGAAGAGCAGCAGUGUCGAAGAUGGUACUGAAGCGGGGAUGGUUGACGGCGUAGCUUAAGAAGAGCUUGGUUUGACAGCUGAAUUAGGUUUAAUCAAUUGGUUUAGUUAAUAAACCAAUUUGUAAUUGUAACCAAUUUUUAAUUGUAAACCAUGUAUCCAAAUUUCAAUUCGUAAAGAAAUACCAAUUUAUAAACCGAUUUAGUUAUAAAUAAAUUUUUAAUUUAUGUUUUUUUAAUAAUAAUUAACAAAAAGUAAAUAGUAUAAAAUUAAUAAUUUUAAAAUAAAUAAUAACAAAAAAUGAUAUUAAAUAAUAUUUAAUGGCAUACAAAUAAGAGAAUUACCGUAUGAUAUCACUAAAAAAGUUUCUAUCAUAAAUGACAAAUAUAGACUCUAAAGAUUGAAAUGAACAAAAUGUUUCAUUAAAUAAUUAAAUAUACACUUAUAUCCCUAAAGUUAAGUAAUUCAAACCUUAGGGUUUUAAGUUAAGGGUGGAGAUUUGAGAUUGAGAUUUAAAAUUUUAUAAAAUAAAAAAUAAAUAUUAAAAAUAAAAAAUUUAAAAAUAGUUUCAAAAAUUAUUUU